rnacentral:lncRNA from 1 species
CUAGGUAGGUGGCUGGGAAGGCUCUCUGAGGAUGUGACAUCUGGACAGAGGCUGAAGGAGGUGAGGGAUUUGGCCACACGGAGUCUGAGGGAGCACGUGAGGCAGGGGAAUGGCAAUAAUGAGGACCCUGAAGGGGGAAGGACAGCCAUAUGGCUCCUACUCCACGAGCAAGAGAAGACUGUGGUGCCCCACUGUCACCUUUGGCUGGGAGCUCAAGGAGGAGUCGGUAAAAGUGGCAUCUGGACCAGCCUUGGAGGAGUCACAGGGUUUCAGAAGGCCAGGUUCUAAGCACCGAGGGAAGACCGAGGCCCUGAUGUUCCCAAGGCCUUACGCUUGGGAGCUGGUCAAUAAUAUUUGUGGAUAAGUGGACAGUUGGGGAGGAGGGAGGCACGACAGGCCCAGGGAAGGCUGUGAGUAAAGGUGUCGGACUGGGAAUGCGCGGCCCGGUGUGUUUGGAAUGUCGGUGAGAAAAAUGGUGUGAAAAUGUCAGGCUGUGAAUAGGUUGAGGUAAUGAUAAAAAAAAAAAAAGGGCAAAACUACUAAAUGCUGAAGUUUGGGCUUCGUUUUGUAGUUAAGGAGGAACCGGGUGGUUUUUGUGGGUGGAACUGCACACAUCAACAGAACAUAUGCUCAGGAGAAUCGGCUGGGGGCUGGGGGAGCGCCAUAGAGACAUGGUUGGCACAGAUUUUGAGACU